UACGUAGGGUGCAAGCGUUAAUCGGAAUUACUGGGCGUAAAGCGUGCGCAGGCGGCUUUGCAAGACAGAUGUGAAAUCCCCGGGCUUAACCUGGGAACUGCAUUUGUGACUGCAUGGCUGGAGUGCGGCAGAGGGGGAUGGAAUUCCGCGUGUAGCAGUGAAAUGCGUAGAUAUGCGGAGGAAAACCGAUGGCGAAGGCAAUCCCCUGGGCCUGCACUGACGCUCAUGCACGAAAGCGUGGGGAGUAAACAGG
rnacentral:rRNA from 1 species